UUUCAUUUUUGAUGAGACGCUGAAUAAAAGAAGUUUAAUCGCCGGCUAACGAAAACCUGCGAUUUCCCGUAAAUCCCGGACUCGGCCCGUAUAGUCAAAAGAAUACAAAGAAAGUAACCAGGGAGUAAACUCAUUUCCCAAACGAUUUUUUAAAUUAUUAUUUGACCACUAAAGCCCAUGAGACUUGUAGUUUUUAAAAAUGUUUUCAUUUUUGAUGAGACGCUGAAUAAAAGAAGUUUAAUCGCCGGCAAACGAAAACCCGCCAUUUCCCGUAAACCCCGGACUCGGCCCGUAUAAUCAAAAGUAUACAAAGAAAGUACCCAGGGAGUAAACUCAUUUCCCGAACGAUUUUUUAAAUUAUUUUUUCACCACUAAAACGCAUGAGACUUUUAUUUUCAAAAAUGUUUUCAUUUUUGAUGAGACGCUGAAUAAAAGAAGUUUAAUC